AAGGAGAUGGAAACUGAAAGAGGAAGAGAGAGGGAGAGAUUCUGCUUUCUUCUGAAGUGUUAAAAGCUCCAUGCAGGCAUUACUUCCUGCACCCAGCAUCUUUUGCCAUUGUUCCUCCGCUGCUUAUGGCCAUGACUCAUAACAAAGUUUUUCUUUUGCACACCCAUUCACACAUGCAGGGCUUGAUCACUCUGUGAGCUUCUAAAAGAAAGACAAAAAAUCCUCUACUUUUCUCCCUGUUUGUGUUUGUGGUGUGCUCCAGACAGCCAGGGGGGCGGACCUUUUUGUCCACGGGAAGGACUGGAGUUUCAAAAAGUUCCUACGAAGGGACUUUUGGUCUGCUUCCUGAUGACAAGCUAACUCUUUUCUGAGAGGUUCCCAUGCACUCAUCAUCUCCUGAUUCUAAUAACUACCCAAGGCUCCACGCUGUACAAUGUCUUGCUACAUGUCUCCUGGUCAUCCGCUCUCAGCCACCCAUCUGCCUCCUCACUGAAGUCACCUACUCUCUGAUAUCUCUGGACCAUCCUCAGUCAUCCCUGGAUGUCCCUCUAAGCUCAGCUCCCUCCAUGUUUCCCGGAUUCCGCCUCGGCUCACUCAGACCUGACCUAGACCCUCCUCAGAGUCCACACUACUCUUGGAAUCAAUCCCUGUUGUGACUCUUCUUACAAAAACCCACAUGUGAAGUGGUCCACCAACCAAAUAAAGAUAUGGAGCACCCAUUGCUUAUCCAAGUGCCUCAAAUCUGCUGUUGUCAAGGCUCCCCUGCCAGUAAACAAUCUGGCCCAGCCGUCUGAUCUCACCAACAUGCCCAGGUAAAAACAAAAUCUUCCGCAGGUAUUCUCAAAAUACCUUGCUUCUUCUCUUCCUCCCCACAAACCUUUCGACUGUGCCAUAGACCUGUUUCCCAGAGUUCCAUUACCUUCUUCUUAUCUAUUCCGUGUGUCAAAGCCAGAACGUGAGUGUAUGGGAAAACAUGUCACUGAAUCUCUAGCUGCUGGCAUCAUUAGAAAUCCCACUUCACCCCUAGGAGCAGAAACAUGGUUCAUUACACCCAUGCAUAGACUAUAGAGGACGUAACCACAUCACUGUUAGUAACAAAUAUCCACUGCCUCUGCUGUCAUCGACCUUUGAGCCCAUACAAGAUUAAACCAAUUUCACGGAAUUGGACCUCCGCAAUGCAUGCUACUUGGCCAGAAUUUUCCAAGGCGAUGAAUGAAAGACAGCCUUCAGAACACCUCUAGGACACUUUGAAUACUCAAUGAUACCAUUUGGAUUAACAAAUGCUCCUGCCAUGUUCCAGUCCCUGGUGGACAGUGUCGUGGAUGACUAUCUGAACAAACAUGUAACAGUCUGUCUCAAUGAUAUACUUCUGUUUUCCAAUCCCCCAGAGGAACAUCGUGGACAUGCAGGUGCCGUUUUCCAAUGCCUUUUGGAGAAUAGACUCUACGCCAAGGCUGAAAAAUGUUAAUUCCAUUCCCCAUCAGUCCAGUUCCUUGGUUUUGUGCUGGAGAGCGGGCAGCUUUAGUCUGAUCUGGAAAAAAUCUAGGCUGCUGUCAACUGGCCUACUCCCACCUCAAUGCAGCUCCAUUUUCUGGGUUUUGCUAAUGUUUAUUGCAGAUUCUUCUAAAACUACAGUCAGACAGCUACACCCUGAACUCGACUCAUUUCCAGAAAAAAAAAAACAUUUUUUUUUUACUCCUGAGGCUGCCAAAGCUUUCACUGAUCUUAAGAACAAGUUCACUCAAGCACCUAAUCUCACCCUUCCAAACACCUCACCACAGUUUGUACAAGAAGUGGACGCCUUAGAUACAGGUGUCGGUGCUGUUUUGUCUCAGGUCUCUCAAACAGGUUACAAACUUUAUCCCUGUUGUAGCGUUAUGGAUAUGCUAUUUUCUGCCCUUAACAGCUGCCCUUUGACACAGUGACAGUGUGCAUAAAUUGCCAAGGUCGUGUGCUUGCUUCUGAUGUUUACAUUCUAUCAAAGAAGACAGAAGAAGGACGAAGAACGCUUUUCAUUAGUUAAUCAAAGAACUUUAUUUUUAAUAAAGCUAAUCAAAACAACUGUUGGUCAAUAAUAAUCAGGUGACUGAACUGUGAAAUCACAAUGUUAUGAUCAGAGGUGGAAAGAGUACUAAAAUGUUGUACUUAAGUACAAGUAUAAUUACUUUCAUGAAAUUUUACUCAAUUACAAAUAAAAUUACCUGCCUCAAAAUGUACUCAAGUAAAAGUAAAAAGUAGCUUAUUUCAAAUGUAGUCAGAGUAAAAGUUACUUAGUUACUUUUUUGACUGCAAGGAUGGGCUCUUCUGAAUAGUUAAAAAAAAGACAAUGGGGUAUAAAUAUCAAAGUGGCCGUUUUUUUAAUUAAAUGAACAAAUAUGCAUUAUGAAGUACAAAGGCAGUUACACUGCAAACUAGUAACAUAAAUUAGGUUAUAGUCACAAGCCCAUGACUUUUCCCUGAAUGCUUAUUUAGAGCAGCUGAUUUUUAAAGUUAGCAGAGUUCAUCUUUGGUAGUGGGUUCACUCACUCAUUUAAAGAUAUCGGCCAGAGGCAAAAUUUGUUUGAACAGCAUGUGUAAAUGUGAAUUAAAAUCUCAGAUGAAAAAGGUUUUUGGAUUUUGACGGCUGGAAUUGUAUGAAAAUCUGAUGUUUGUGACCGGCGAGGGAAAAACAGAAACUAACUUCCGGUCUAAGCCCUGGGCAGCAGUUGACGUUUCACAUGGAGCUCUGCUGAAACAGCUGUAGUAAACAACGCCUGGCUCCGCUGUUUCUGCGUUAGCGUUAUAGCAGAGAACAUUGUGUCAUCAAUCAGAUGUAGCUUCUGAAGCCUCUGCUAGUCGGUCAGAUUUGUUUUUUCUCUGGGAUACGGCGACGAGAACGGAUAUUGGAUUCCCGGAGAAGUUCAACCGAACUCCGACCCCGCCAGCUGGAUAUCACUACCAGAGGUGCAGACAUGUUUUAGACCGUUUGACUCAGAAGACCAGGACAUGACCUGGACAUAGAGGAGGAUUCUGUUCAUCUUCAGAACCAAAAUCGGUAGAGUUUGUUUACUUUUCUUAAAUAUUUCCUUUCUGUGCUCCUCUGGGAGCUCUAAGUUGACAAGUUCUCAGCUGGUCUUAGCUCCAUCAUGUGUCCCAAUAUAGUUCAGUAAUCUACAGUUUUACUGCUGUGUGUAUUUAUUGACAUAACUCUGGAAAAUAUUUAACCAACAAUUUACCAGAAUAAAUCUUCCUGAUGCUGGAGUAACUCCUUAGCUCAACUCGUUGUUUGCACUAAUCCAGGAUGUCAUGGAGGUUCUAAUGUUGAAAUAUAGAGAUCAUCUUUUAGAUUAUAUCUGUGUGUGUGUGUGUGUGUGUGUGUGUGUGUGUGUGUGUGUGUGUGUGUGUGUGUGUGCGUGCGUGCGUGCGUGCGUGUGUGUCGUAGCUUUCCCAAAGGACUUGUUCUUUCCUUACCGGAGCUAACACAGUUAGCAGUUUUGCUGCAGUCAUGCUAACGGGACUCGUCUGGAGUCCAGAAGUAGCGGUGCGGUUCUAGAUGGAUUUAUAGAUGUAGGUUAUUAUUUUAGAUCAGACCUGUUAUUUAAAAAUGCAUGUAGGACACAGACACAUGGCUCAGACCUUUUGCUGCAGCUGUAAACACAAUUUUACGUAAUAAUUAGGAGCAUCAAAGUAAAUAACAGUGAUUCACAAUACUAGCAUCAGCAGCUAGCUUGUUUUACGUGCUGGAGCGACGUAUGCGAAACACAGUUCUUCACUGUCUGGAGGAGAGGAUUUGGAUAUUCUGUAAUGAUUUAUGACAAAAGUCCUUAAUAAAAUAAAAAACUGGACCCAGUACAUGUUUAUAUAGAUAAUAAACUGUAGUUAUUUAGCAUUUCUACAAUUUUAAUGCCGAGCCAAUACCUUUAACCCUUCACCACUGAAACCAGUUUGUUCAUUCCAGUCCACCUAAAUAAUCCUCCAAUCAUCCAACUGGAAUCCUUAAGGGUCCUGUAACGUACAUCCUGUCAGAAUAGGCCUUGGGAGCCCAGGUGUUACUAGAACUAACGGUGUCUCCUCACCAGCGUGACCCUCCAAACUGUGAAGGUUGGUCUCCAAAUAUGAACUUCAAAUUCAUGCAUUUAUCUCCUCUUGUAACACUUUAACAUGUUUUAAAAGGCUUGUAUCGUGAUAUGUUACACCUCCCAGACCAAAGAUAGGUCCAAUAUAAGAUAAAACAUUAUCAUAAACACUGCAGAGACAUCAUUGUUUAUUAAAUACAAGUUGUUUUCCUGAGCCAUUACUUCAGCCAAUAUAUAGGAUGCAUGGAUUUGAUGAAGCCAUGCUGUCUCAUGCAGUCCUACACACACACACACGCACACACACACACGCACAUUCACACACACACACACACACACACACACACACACACACACACACACACACACACACACACACACACACACACACACACACACACACACACACACACACACACACAGCAGCAUGUUAGAAUCAUUUGAAUGACUAAUUUAACUACACUGAACUGCUUUAGUAACAAUUUAAUCUCUUAUUCUGGAGUAAAAAAAAAGAAACAAACUAAAUCAUCACAUAUCUGUGGCAUCAAGAAGCAACUUCUGAGUUCAGACACAGGGAUGGAGCACAAUGUUUACACCUGAACAGUAUCAGGAUUAACUCACAGAGGCCUGCAGGUCUUCUGUUUUAUGAGCAGAGCGCUGAUAAUCAGCUUCUUAGGAGCGCUAAACGUAAUUUUGCCGCUUCCGUGCACGGUAAGAAAACACAUUUCAAACACGGAACCGAGUCUGGUUGCCGAACCGAGCAGAAUUCUGAUGACGUCACACCGGUGCGCGAAGGUGCGGGUUCCAACCCACAGGAGAGAAGGGAGAGAGGAGGUAAACAGCGAGUGGAUCACAGGGACUGAACUGAUGUUUUUGAGCAAAACUGCGGUAAAAAUGGCUGUUUGUCCUCAUCAUAAAGCGUGUAGCCCCCCCCCACCCCCCGCCCCCCCGUUUAGACGUGGCGCUCAUGCAGGUGUCUCUUUCUGUUCUGACGCUGCUACACGUAAUAUUUUUAAUUUAUUAAGACUACAAUUUAUUUUUACUCAGUAACGGAUAUGAUUUAAAAUGUAGCGAAUUACAAUUCUUGUUUAAAAACUUACUCAAGUAAAAGUAAAAGUACAGAUUUUAAAAACGACUUAAAAAGUAUAAAUUUACAAAAAAGCUACUCAAUUACAGUAACGUGAGUAAAUGUAAUUCCUUACUUUCCACCUCUGGUUAUGAUUUAUGUGUUUUAAUGAAUAACAGGACUAACUGAGCUAGACAUCCUGAUCCACGUAAGAUAAACACAUGACACAUUGUUCACGCAUCCAAUCAGAACUUCCGUUCUGUUGCGGGGCAGAGUUCUGAGGUGUUUACUUAAUCUGUCCACUCCGGUUGGCUAAGAUUCAUAAACAUCUAACCUUAAUAAAACAGAACCAUGCCAUUUUAUUUCAGUUCCACCGCAAGUUUCAACGUAGUUCCAACGUGAGCUCGACCAGCUCUCAAAUCCAUCAUCGCUAAGUGAAGUGCAGACUGGCCAGCUGUAUUUUCUACUUUAAGCUGAGAACUGUCAAGCUCGAAAUAUUCUGUCGUUUUACCAACAAGACGACGGUUCCUUCAAAAUAAAAGCUGAACUCUCUACGUGACGCUGACACCUGCCGUUGCUACCGGGAGUCUAUCCGUAGACUGGUUUGUCGUGCUGCAGACGCUGUGCUAUCAGUUCCAGCACCAAAGGAGGGUCCGAGGACCUGGCAUUCCGGAUCAUACACGGGAGUCUCCGAAGGUACGUAGUUCGGCAUAGAAGGCAUUUCAUGUCUCUUCCUCCUGAAGUCCCUCGUGGUUAGUUAGUCAAAACAACAUCUUGCCCUCAGACUCGCCUCGCACCAGAUGGAGAUUCUGAACUGACACACACACCAACUCUUCAGCAUCCAAUCCAUAUUCAUCCAUCAUUAGAGAGUUAGUCCUGGAGAUUGUUUCGAAUAAUUAUAAAAAUAAAUAUUCUUAAACGUCCCAUAUUUUUCCUUUCUUGUCUCUCUAAGUCAAUACAAAGUGUUUGAAUAAAAUUCCCUGUGGUAAAAACAACCUCUUCUGAUUCUAAGGUAAGAUUAACCUCUGUACCUUAAUAAGUGUGAGAAUAAACCAACUAUAUUCCGCUACAUUUAAUGGCGAGCCUUAUCCAGAUAUCUACACAAUUUUAAAGCACUUUGUGCCUCGUUUGAGACAUAUUGGGACUCUGAGUCUGAGUUAGACAUAACAAACUUCUCUCGUUC